AGCGAACGCUGGCGGCAGGCUUAACACAUGCAAGUCGAACGGAACCCUUCGGGGUUAGUGGCGGACGGGUGAGUAACACGUGGGAAUGUGCCUUUAGGUUCGGAACAACACAGGGAAACUUGUGCUAAUACCGAAUGUGCCCUCGGGGAAGGAUUGUUGCCUUUAGAGCAGCCCGCGUCUGAUUAGCUUGUUGGUGAGGUAAAGGACUCACCAAGGCGACGA
rnacentral:rRNA from 1 species